rnacentral:lncRNA from 1 species
UUGCUAGAGUCAUAUUUGGUAUUCAAAUCAUUACCUCUCAUGAUACAAGGCACACACAAUACAACUAUCUGUGCUGUGAUACCAUGAUUAUAUUAUAUGUGGACUAAUGUCACUUGUGCAAGAUAAUUGCUAAGUGAAUGCAGAUUAGUGAUAUGAUGAGUUUGUUGGAAAGUUGCAAUUCUUCAUGGUCUACUAGUUAGCCUAAAGAAUGAUGGCAAUAAAAGGAAGUCAAGGAUCUUUUGAAUAUGCGCAUUUUGGAAGAUUCUAGACCUGCCAAGACUUAUGCCAACAACCACUGGACUUGAUCAGUACAAGAAAGGUACAUCAACUGAAAUGUCAAGUCUCAGAGGUAUUCAACUUAUCACUUUACUUAACUGCAAGUAGAUCACAUACUAUAUUUUCUAUAAGGUGUUACUUCUUUCAUGAGCAUGU